GACGAACGCUGGCGGCGUGCUUAACACAUGCAAGUCGAACGAAGAGCGACGGAAGCUUGCUUCUAUCAAUCUUAGUGGCGAACGUGUGAGUAACGCGUAAUCAACCUGCCCUUCAGAGGGGGACAACAGUUGGAAACGACUUCUUAUACCGCAUACGAUCUAACCUCGGCAUCGAGGAUAGAUGAAAGGUGGCCUCUAUAUGUAAGCUAUCACUGAAGGCGGGGUUUGCGUCUGAUUAGCUAGUUGGAGGGGUAACGGCCCACCAAGGCGAUGAUCAGUAGCCGGUAGGAGAGGAUGAACGGCCACAUUGGGAGGGAGACACGGCCCAGACUGCUACGGGAGGAAGCAGGGAGGAAUCUUCCGCAAGGGACGAAAGACUGACGGAGAAACGCCGAGUGAGUGAUGACGGCCGUCGGGUUGUAAAGCUCUGUUUAUCGGGACGAAAGGUCUUCUUGCGAAUAGGGAGAAGGAUUGACGGUACCGGAAUAGAAAGCCACGGCUAACUAAGUG
rnacentral:rRNA from 1 species